UUUCCCUGUGAUGCUAUAUGUAACCAUGCUAAUACUGAUCAUUUAAGUGAUUGAUUCUUACUUUGUUUCUGAGGGAAUC